UCCUGGGGUGAGAGGGGAAUUCUGGACCGUAGCAAGACGGACUACAGCGAAAGCAUUUGGCAAGAAUGUCUUCAUUAAUCAAGAACGAAAGUCAGAGGUUCGAAGGCGAUCAGAUACCGCCCUAGUUCUGACCGUAAACGAUGCCAACUAGCGAUCCGCCGGCGGAUUCAUUCGCCCUGGUGGGGAGCUUCCCGGAAACGAAAGUCUUCCGGUUCCGGGGGAAGUAUGGUUGCAAAGCUGAAACUUAAAGGAAUUGACGGAAGGGCACCACCAGGAGUGGAGCCUGCGGCUUAAUUUGACUCAACACGGGGAAACUCACCCGGCCCGGACACCGUAAGGAUUGACAGAUUGAUAGCUUUUUCAUGAUUCGGUGGAUGGUGGUGCAUGGCCGUUCUUAGUUCGUGGAGCGAUUUGUCUGGUUUAUUCCGAUAACGAGCGAGACUCUAGCCUACUAAAUAGUUGACUCAUUGCCGCUGUGGGCACAACUUCUUAGAGGGAUUUUCGGUGUUCAGCCGCACGAAAUUGAGCAAUAACAGGUCUGUGAUGCCCUUAGAUGUCCGGGGCUGCACGCGCGCUACACUGGCAAAAUCAGCGUGCUUGUCCUUCCCCGAAAGGGGUUGGUAAACCGGUGAAAAUUUGCCGUGAUUGGGAUCGGACAUUGCAAUUAUUGUCCGUGAACGAGGAAUUCCUUGUAGGGGCGAGUCAUCAACUCGCUCUGAAUACGUCCCUGCCCUUUGUACACACCGCCCGUCGCUGCCCGGGACUGAGCCAUUUCGAGAAACUCGGGGACGAUUAGUGUGUCAGCUUCGGCUGUCGCGCAGAUGGAACCGAUUAAUCGCAGUC
rnacentral:rRNA from 1 species